rnacentral:rRNA from 1 species
GAGUUUGAUCAUGGCUCAGAUUGAACGCUGGCGGCAGGCCUAACACAUGCAAGUCGAGCGGUAGAGAGAAGCUUGCUUCUCUUGAGAGCGGCGGACGGGUGAGUAAUGCCUAGGAAUCUGCCUGGUAGUGGGGGAUAACGCUCGGAAACGGACGCUAAUACCGCAUACGUCCUACGGGAGAAAGCAGGGGACCUUCGGGCCUUGCGCUAUCAGAUGAGCCUAGGUCGGAUUAGCUAGUUGGUGAGGUAAUGGCUCACCAAGGCGACGAUCCGUAACUGGUCUGAGAGGAUGAUCAGUCACACUGGAACUGAGACACGGUCCAGACUCCUACGGGAGGCAGCAGUGGGGAAUAUUGGACAAUGGGCGAAAGCCUGAUCCAGCCAUGCCGCGUGUGUGAAGAAGGUCUUCGGAUUGUAAAGCACUUUAAGUUGGGAGGAAGGGCAGUAAAUUAAUACUUUGCUGUUUUGACGUUACCGACAGAAUAAGCACCGGCUAACUCUGUGCCAGCCG